CAAAUUGCAGGAUCCUCCUCUCCCAUUCUUGAGAAGUCGCAGCGUCAGGUAAACCCCACGGCCGCCGCGAAACUCCAAGCCAAAGCCUAGCCCCCGUCCAAUGGCGGCCGCGGCUGCGCGGUUGCUGCUUCCGAGGGCGACCAGAACGUCGGCCUCCUCCUCCGCCACUGCUCUUCUCCGCGGCCUUCUCGAUUCCUUCUCCAGACGCUCCCGAGCGCUCGCACCGCCUCCGCCGCCGCCGUCGACCGUGUUCUCGCGGAACCUCUCCGACGCGGCCUUCGACGCGCAGGCGCUGGACACCCGCGUCCCCGCGACCGUCAUCACCGGUUUCCUCGGCUCCGGCAAGACAACCCUCCUGAAUCACAUUUUAACUUCACAGCACGGGAAGAGGAUUGCUGUUAUUGAAAAUGAGUUUGGUGAGGUGGAUAUCGACAGCUCACUUGUCGCUAGCCAUUCAUCCGUUGCUGAGGACAUUGUAAUGGUGAAUAAUGGCUGCUUGUGCUGCACCGUCCGGGGAGAUCUUGUAAAGAUGCUUCUGAAGUUGGUGAAGCAGAAGGGGGACAAGUUUGAUCAUAUUGUUAUUGAAACAACAGGUCUUGCAAAGCCUGGUCCUGUUAUUGAGACAUUCUGUUCAGAUGAAUUGGUUUCUAAGUAUGUGAAACUUGAUGGUGUGGUUACUAUGGUUGAUUGCAAGCAUGCCAUGAAGCAUUUGAAUGAAGUGAAAGCUAGGUGGGUUGUAAAUGAGGCAGUAGAACAAGUUGCUUAUGCAGACCGGAUUAUAUUAAACAAGAUUGAUUUGGUUGAUGAUGCAGAAUUGGAGGCGUUAACUAGCAAAAUCAAGCUCAUAAAUGGGAUGGCAAAGAUGAAAAAGGCAAAGUUUGGUGAUGUUGACAUGGACUUUGUGCUAGGAAUUGGAGGCUAUGACCUUGACAGGAUUGAGGCUGAAGUCCAAUUGCAAGAAAGCAAGGAGACAGGUCAUUGUCACCAUGGAGAUGAACAUGGACACCAUCAUGAUCAUAUCCAUGAUUCAGCUGUCUCUAGCGUGAGCAUUGUUUCAGAGGGAGUACUUGAUCUUGAUGAGGUGAAUGAUUGGCUGGAGAGACUGGUUGAUGAGAACGGGGAAGAUCUGUACAGAUUGAAGGGUGUUAUAUCUGUAAAUGAGUCAACUGGACGCUUCGUUUUUCAGGGUGUGCACUCAAUGCUGGAAGGAUGCCCAGCAAAGCCAUGGGAUCCUGAUGAGAAGAGGGUCAACAAACUCGUGUUUAUUGGCAGGAAUUUGGACAAAGCUGCCCUACAGAAAGCCUUCAAAGGUUGCUUACUGUGAACACCCUGAUCAUGUAUUGAUCCUGGAGGUUGAAGUCGCGAACAGUUGCAUCACAAGAAAAUCAGGAGCAAGUGCAGAUACGGGGUCCUAUGUUUUUCGCUGGUGAUAUUUUUCCUCAUGUUAACUGAGAAAUUGAUCGCUGUUGCCCUUUUUGAGAUACAGUGUCCAGGGUCUGUGUGGUAUCCUCGUCUGCGUAAGAAUCAGACUUGUAUAUUGAGCAGUUGUACUCUUGAUCUACAGUCAAUCGGAGUGUGAGCCCUGACGGUUGUACUGUAGCAUCGGCUGCAGCUGAUGUGACCCUCCGAUUCUGGAAUGUGUUUGGAAUUCCAUAAGGCUGCACCCAAGGCGGCUUCCUACACUGGGAUCUUCAACAGUUUCAACCAUAUCCGAUGAGGAGAAAAUGCCUUCACUGAGGCCUUGCAGAGUUUCAGACCUGUUGGUAGGAACAUGUCUGUUGACAUCACCGUAAAUCCCCGUCGAGCCGAAGAGAUCAUCAUACACCACUAUUCUAGCAAGAAUUA